GGCCCUCAAACAGGUCACAUUCUGAGGAACUGAGACUGAGGGCCACAGCAUAGCAAGUUUGGAGACACAGUCCACUCAGAGCAGCACAUAAUUCACUGGUGAAGCAGAAAUACCUUGGAAGGGAGGACAUGGAAGUCACAUGCAGGCUUCGUAAGGAACUGACCCCUCCAUAAAGGUGAGCCUAUUUAUGCUCUGCGCUGCAGGCUCACUGUGUGAACUCUCAUGCCUGCUUUGGAGCUUUUCCUGGGACCACUAGAUUCUUUCACCAACUAAAGGGGAAGUUGAGCACAGACAAGAGCAGUCUCUAGCUAUGAUGGCAAAAAGAAAGGAUGCAAGGAGAUUUAAGGCAAACCCAAAGCAAAUAUCCAUAAGCUGAUGCUUGAUGGAGAGAACUUUUGGAAAGGCCAAGCCAAG
rnacentral:lncRNA from 1 species